rnacentral:rRNA from 1 species
CAGUCGCCGCGGGAAUACGGAGGGUGCAAGCGUUAAUCGGAAUUACUGGGCGUAAAGCGCACGCAGGCGGUCUGACAAGUCAGAUGUGAAAUCCCCGGGCUUAACCUGGGAACUGCAUUUGAAACUGUCAGGCUGGAGUCUUGUAGAGGGGGGUAGAAUUCCAGGUGUAGCGGUGAAAUGCGUAGAGAUCUGGAGGAAUACCGGUGGCGAAGGCGGCCCCCUGGACAAAGACUGACGCUCAGGUGCGAAAGCGUGGGGAGCAAACAGGAUUAGAGACCCCGGUAGUCCCUGUCUCUUAUAC